GAUUUACCUCUGAACAAAAAUAUAUACAAUUGCAUUAUACAGCAGUGUAUCUGGGCUUGGAUCACUCUAAAUGAAUAGUGAAGCAGAUGGACAUAGGCAACAGCAGUAGUAUUCCUGGGAACUGUGUGUGAUAAUGCAAUGGGUGAAGAACAGUGGCUAUUCAGAGUAGCUGGUUGGAUGCUUUGGAUUUUAAUGGCAGCUCUAAUGCUGUGGAGCGACUAUGGCAAUGGACAAGCUCAAGGUAGAAAGCUGGUAGAAGAAAUCACCACAGCAAAUGGUUAAAAUUCCCCCAGAGGAAUAAUUUUUGCCACAUAUAGUAUGAAAUAUCCAGACUAUGGCUUCAAACUCUCUCUCCUAAUCAUGGAAAUUUGAAGCAAAUUUUGCAGUACUGGACCUUUUUUUCCAAUGGUACAAAGAACAUUUCAUUCACUCA